GAUGAACGCUGGCGGCAUGCUUAACACAUGCCAGUCGAACGGGCAGAGGUGUUUCUUGUGGCGGUCGGGUGAGCAACGCGCAAGUAACUGACCUUGGGAGGGGCACCAUAGAUGGCUACGGCUGCUACUACACCCUAGGCCGAGUAGCGAAUGGAGGAAUCCGCCCGAGGGUGGGAUUGGGUCUGACUAGCUAGCUGGUGGGUCAAUAGCUUACCACGGCGCUGGUCAGUAUCUGGUACGAGAGGGAGACCGGCCACACUGGGACGGAGACACGGCGAAGGCUCCUACGGGAGGCAGCAGUAGGGAAGUUGCCGCAAUGGGCGAAAGGCUGACGGGGCCAUGCCGCGUGGAGGUAGAAGGCCCACGGGUCGAGAACUGCUUAUCCAGGAGAAGAAGCAAUGACGGUACCUGGGGAGUAAGCAUCGGCUAACUCUGUG
rnacentral:rRNA from 1 species